GGAAAAGGGCAAAAAAAAAAAAAAAAAAGAAAGAAAAAAGACACGCACGAUCUAAAAAUGGACUAAAGAGACACAAGCCCAGAAUUGCGUCCGUUCGUCUCUACCUCUCAAAAGAUUGUAAAAGUCAGAGAAACAAUUGAAGAAAACGAUUAAAUCCAUCCAUGUUACUGCGAACUUGAUCCAUCAUGGAUAUCCGGUAUUCAAGGCAUACGCGACUUCGAAUAGCGAGACUG